GGGGCGAGUGCGGCGUGCUAUACAUGCAGUUGAGCGCUGAAGGUUGGUACUUGUACCGACUGGAUGAGCAGCGAACGGGUGAGUAACGCGUGGGGAAUCUGCCUUUGAGCGGGGGACAACAUUUGGAAACGAAUGCUAAUACCGCAUAAAAACUUUAAACACAAGUUUUAAGUUUGAAAGAUGCAAUUGCAUCACUCAAAGAUGAUCCCGCGUUGUAUUAGCUAGUUGGUGAGGUAAAGGCUCACCAAGGCGAUGAUACAUAGCCGACCUGAGAGGGUGAUCGGCCACAUUGGGACUGAGACACGGCCCAAACUCCUACGGGAGGCAGCAGUAGGGAAUCUUCGGCAAUGGACGAAAGUCUGACCGAGCAACGCCGCGUGAGUGAAGAAGGUUUUCGGAUCGUAAAACUCUGUUGGUAGAGAAGAACGUUGGUGAGAGUGGAAAGCUCAUCAAGUGACGGUAACUACCCAGAAAGGGACGGCUAACUACGUGCCAGCAGCCGCGGUAAUACGUAGGUCCCGAGCGUUGUCCGGAUUUAUUGGGCGUAAAGCGAGCGCAGGUGGUUUAUUAAGUCUGGUGUAAAAGGCAGUGGCUCAACCAUUGUAUGCAUUGGAAACUGGUAGACUUGAGUGCAGGAGAGGAGAGUGGAAUUCCAUGUGUAGCGGUGAAAUGCGUAGAUAUAUGGAGGAACACCGGUGGCGAAAGCGGCUCUCUGGCCUGUAACUGACACUGAGGCUCGAAAGCGUGGGGAGCAAACAGGAUUAGAUACCCUGGUAGUCCACGCCGUAAACGAUGAGUGCUAGAUGUAGGGAGCUAUAAGUUCUCUGUAUCGCAGCUAACGCAAUAAGCACUCCGCCUGGGGAGUACGACCGCAAGGUUGAAACUCAAGGAAUUGACGGGGGCCCGCACAAGCGGUGGAGCAUGUGUUAAUUCGAAGCACGCGAAGAACCUUACCAGUCUUGACAUACUCGUGCUAUCCUAGAGAUAGAAGUUCUUCGGGACACGGGAUACAGUGGUGCAUGUUGUCCUCCAGCUCCNUGUCUGGAGAAUGUGGUAGUCCCGCCACGAGGCGCACUCUAUGUAAGUGCCAUACAAUAAGUGAUCUCACAGAGACGGCGGUAUACGGAGAAAGGNUAGCAUGACGUCAAUUCUAUGGCUUUAGACUUGUACA
rnacentral:rRNA from 1 species